CCCUAGUGUGAUAGUAGUAGCAGUUUCAACAGCCAUUGCACAUGCUAUCAAUGCUCUGAGACACGCCGGCAUACCCUGUACCGGAGCUCGAACUACUUUGGAAAAGAAUGCUAUGGGACGCAUACCGCCUCCUUGCUCUUGUGCACAGACUGCGGCCAUGGUUUUACAAUUGUCCCAAACAUACAAAUGAAAUGGUUUACAAUACACAGGUAGUCCUAAAGCCUGGGCUUGCACAAUAACAACUGUAAGGGCAAUAUAUGCAGCUAGCAUGUCUGGUGACCAGCAGACAUUUUCAGGGCUGUCAGAACGUACAGCCUCCCUUAGGACUGAGUCAUAAUGGGAGCAUUCAGGGAUCCAUUGGCGGCAGUAAUUAAUCAUGCCGAGGAAGGUGAGCAACUCCUUCCGAGUAGUGGGUGUAGGAAUUCUCUGAAUGACCUCAAUACGUUUUGGACUCAAUUGUCUGGUGCCUAAAGCCAGAACAAAACCUAAGUAUUCAACCUUUGAUUUACACAAUUGCAUUUUGUGUUUAACAACCUUGUGACCUAUAGUUGCUGACAGUAUCCACAGUGCUUGCCUCAUAGCUAG